rnacentral:rRNA from 1 species
GGCGAACGGGUGAGUAACACGUGGGUAAUCUCGCCCUCGGCAUCGGGAUAGCCCGGGGAAACCCGGAUUAAUACCGGAUAGCCUCUGGAGCCUUCGGGCGUCGGAGAAAAGGUAGCUUCGGCCUCUGGCCGAGGAUGAGCCCGCGGCGGAUUAGCUUGUUGGUGGGGUAACGGCCCACCAAGGCGACGAUCCGUAGCUGGUCUGAGAGGACGAUCAGCCACACUGGGACUGAGACACGGCCCAGACUCCUACGGGAGGCAGCAGUGGGGAAUCUUGCGCUAAUGCGGGAAACCGUGACGCAGCGACGCCGCGUGGGGGAAGAAGGCCUUCGGGUUGUAAACCUCUUUCAGGAGGGACGAAGCUACUCGGGUGAAUAGCCCAGAGGGUGACGGUACCUCCAGAAGAAGCCCCGGCUAACUACGUGCCAGCAGCCGCGG